UCUCAGGACGCCGCUGCACGUG
rnacentral:miRNA from 1 species